UAUUACCGCGGCUGCUGGCCUACGGGGGGCAGCAGUGUGGGAAUAUUGCGCAAUGGGGGAAACCCUGACGCAGCAACGCCGCGUGGGUGAAGAAGGCCUUCGGGUUGUAAAGCUCUGUCUUCUGGGACGAUAAUGACGGUACCAGAGGAGGAAGCCACGGCUAACUACGUGCCAGCAGCCGCGGUAAUACGUAGGUGGCAAGCGUUGGUCCGGAUUUACUGGGCGUAAAGGGAGCGUAGGCGGAUAUUUAAGUCAGAUGUGAAAUACCCGAGCUUAACUUGGGUGCUGCAUUUGAAACUGGAUAUCUGGAGUGCAGGAGAGGAAAGUGGAAUUCCGUAGUGUAGCGGUGAAAUGCGUAGAGAUUAGGAAGAACACCAGUGGCGAAGGCGACUUUUCUGGACUGUAACUGACGCUGAGGCUCGAAAGCGUGGGGAGCAAACAGGAUUAGAUACCCUGGUAGUCCACGCCGUAAACGAUGAUUACUAGGUGUAGGAGGUAUCGACCCCUUCUGUGCCGCAGUUAACACAAAUAAGUAUUCCGCCCUGGGGAGUACGGUCGCAAGAUUAAAACUCAAAGGAAUUGACGGGGGCCCGCAACAAAGCAAGCGGAGCAUGUGGUUUAAUUCGAAGCAAACGCGAAGAACCUUACCUAGACUUGACAUCCCCUGAAUUACUCGUAACGGAGGAAGCCCUUCGGGGCAGGGAGACAGGUGGUGCAUGGUUGUCGUCAGCUCGUGUCGUGAGAUGUUGGGUUAAGUCCCGCAACGAGCGCAACCCUUAUUAUUAGUUGCUACCAUUAAGUUGAGCACUCUAAUGAGACUGCCCGGGUUAACCGGGAGGAAGGUGGGGAUGACGUCAAAUCAUCAUGCCCCUUAUGUCUAGGGCUACACACGUGCUACAAUGGUUGGUACAACGAGACGCAAGACCCUUGGAAGGUUGGAACCAAAAACUCAAAAACCCAAUCCCAGUUCGGAUUGUAGGCUGAAACUCGCCUACAUGAAGCCGGAGUUGCUAGUAAUCGCGAAUCAGCAUGUCGCGGUGAAUACGUUCCCGGGCCUUGUACACACCGCCCGUCACACCAUGAGAGUUGGCAACACCCGGAAGUCCGUGAGGUAACCGUAAGGAGCCAGCGGCCGAAGGUGGGGUCAAUGA
rnacentral:rRNA from 1 species